AACGAACGCUGGCGGCAGGCUUAACACAUGCAAGUCGAGCGCCCCGCCAGGGGAGCGGCAGACGGGUGAGUAACGCGUGGGAACGUACCUUUUGGUUCGGAACAACUCCGGGAAACUGGAGCUAAUACCGGAUAAGCCCUAACGGGGAAAGAUUUAUCGCCGAAAGAUCGGCCCGCGUCUGAUUAGCUAGUUGGUGAGGUAACGGCUCACCAAGGCGACGAUCAGUAGCUGGUCUGAGAGGAUGAUCAGCCACACUGGGACUGAGACACGGCCCAGACUCCUACGGGAGGCAGCAGUGGGGAGUAUUGGACAAUGGGCGCAAGCCUGAUCCAGCCAUGCCGCGUGAGUGAUGAAGGCCUUAGGGUUGUAAAGCUCUUUUGUCCGGGAAGAUAAUGACUGUACCGGAAGAAUAAGCCCCGGCUAACUUCGUG
rnacentral:rRNA from 1 species